GAUCCUGGCUCAGGAUGAACGCUAGCUACAGGCUUAACACAUGCAAGUCGAGGGGCAGCAUGGUCUUAGCUUGCUAAGGCCGAUGGCGACCGGCGCACGGGUGAGUAACACGUAUCCAACCUGCCGUCUACUCUUGGACGAGCCUUCUGAAAGGAAGAUUAAUACAAGAUGGCAUCAUGAGGUCCGCAUGUUCACAUGAUUAAGGUAUUCCGGUAGACGAUGGGGU
rnacentral:rRNA from 1 species